rfam:Myotis brandtii contig163131, whole genome shotgun sequence.
CGUGCACCAGUGGGGUCCCUCGGCCUGGCCUGCGCCCUCUCGCAAUCCGGGACCUCUCGGGGGAUGUUGGAGAGCCGGUUUCAGCUUGAUACCGCAGGCCAGGCUGAGGGACCCCACUGGUGCACG